UACGAAGGGGGCAAGCGUUGUUCGGAAUUACUGGGCGUAAAGGGCUCGUAGGCGGCCAACUAAGUCAGACGUGAAAUCCCUCGGCUUAACCGGGGAACUGCGUCUGAUACUGGAUGGCUUGAGGUUGGGAGAGGGAUGCGGAAUUCCAGGUGUAGCGGUGAAAUGCGUAGAUAUCUGGAGGAACACCGGUGGCGAAGGCGGCAUCCUGGACCAAUUCUGACGCUGAGGAGCGAAAGCCAGGGGAGCAAACGGG
rnacentral:rRNA from 1 species